rfam:Acidibacillus ferrooxidans strain ITV001 contig0041, whole genome shotgun sequence.
CCCGCUCUGGAUUGUGAGCGCGCGUCUACCGUGACAUGGGACACUGGUAACGGUAUUUUAUGAAGCUCACGGGACAAUGUAGCCGAACUUGAUAGGGAAAUUCAGGUCGGAGC